UACGGAGGAUCCAAGCGUUAUCCGGAUUUAUUGGGUUUAAAGGGUGCGUAGGCGGCUUUUUAAGUCAGGGGUGAAAGACGGUGGCUCAACCAUCGCAGUGCCUUUGAUACUGAAGAGCUUGAUUAAACUUGAGGUAGGCGGAAUGUGACAAGUAGCGGUGAAAUGCAUAGAUAUGUCACAGAACACCGAUUGCGAAGGCAGCUUACUAAGGUUUGAAUGACGCUGAGGCACGAAAGCGUGGGGAUCAAACAGG
rnacentral:rRNA from 1 species